rnacentral:rRNA from 1 species
CGAACGGCAGCACGGGGGCAACCCUGGUGGCGAGUGGCGAACGGGUGAGUAAUACAUCGGAACGUGUCCUGUAGUGGGGGAUAGCCCGGCGAAAGCCGGAUUAAUACCGCAUACGCUCUACGGAGGAAAGGGGGGGAUCUUAGGACCUCCCGCUACAGGGGUGGCCGAUGGCAGAUUAGCUAGUUGGUGGGGUAAAGGCCUACCAAGGCGACGAUCUGUAGCUGGUCUGAGAGGACGACCAGCCACACUGGGACUGAGACACGGCCCAGACUCCUACGGGAGGCAGCAGUGGGGAAUUUUGGACAAUGGGCGAAAGCCUGAUCCAGCAAUGCCGCGUGUGUGAAGAAGGCCUUCGGGUUGUAAAGCACUUUUGUCCGGAAAGAAAACGCCGUGGUUAAUACCCGUGGCGGAUGACGGUACCGGAAGAAUAAGCACCGGCUAACUACGUGCCAGCAGCCGCGGUAAUACGUAGGGUGCAAGCGUUAAUCGGAAUUACUGGGCGUAAAGCGUGCGCAGGCGGUCCGCUAAGACAGAUGUGAA